CGGACGGGUGAGUAAUGUCUGGGAAACUGCCUGAUGGAGGGGGAUAACUACUGGAAACGGUAGCUAAUACCGCAUAACGUCGCAAGACCAAAGAGGGGACCUUCGGGCCUCUUGCCAUCGGAUGUGCCCAGGUGGGAUUAGCUAGUAGGUGGGGUAACGGCUCACCUAGGCGACGAUCCCUAGCUGGUCUGAGAGGAUGACCAGCCACACUGGAACUGAGACACGGUCCAG
rnacentral:rRNA from 1 species